rnacentral:rRNA from 1 species
UACGGAGGAUCCAAGCGUUAUCCGGAUUCAUUGGGUUUAAAGGGUGCGUAGGCGGAAUGAUAAGUCAGUGGUGAAAUCCUUCAGCUUAACUGGAGAAUUGCCAUUGAUACUGUCAAUCUUGAGUACAUUUGAUGUGGGCGGAAUAUGUCAUGUAGCGGUGAAAUGCAUAGAUAUGACAUAGAACACCAAUUGCGAAGGCAGCUCACUAAGCAGACAUUGACGCUGAGGCACGAAAGCGUGGGGAUCAAACAGG